AUGUGUAUAUGUAUACACAUAUAUGUGUGUGUAUACAUAUACACACAUAUAUGUGUAUAUGUAUACACAUA
rnacentral:pre_miRNA from 13 species